AUCUUCAGCUUUCCUGGAGCUGCCUCGGAUCGGAAACUGAUCCUCAACACUGCCUUCAACCGGACCCCUUAAGGCAGAUCCUCGUGCAAACCUGAGCACACAGCAGGGUCAGAGCCGGAUACUGGAUGGGCAGUCACCGGGCGCCCGCAGAACCCUGUUGGAUAGGAAGUUAUACCCCAGAUGAAGAAAACUGAGAUCCAGAGAAGCUGUAAACUGUUUGGUGAGGAUCAUACAGCUCUGAAAUGUAGCUCCUUCUGAAGUAUAAAGACAUGAGUCAAGGGGAUUCACACAGAAAGAUUCUUCUUCUUAAGAACAAGAUCUUGGGCCUUCCUGGUGGCGCAAGUGGUUAAGCACAGAACUGUGAAGCUAUCCACAGCCUCUGCAGCAUGAGUUCAAUCCCCAGCCGGCCAGGGAGAUACCCACAUGGCGCAGCAGACCUCUCCUGUCUCACCCGCUGCUUCCCUCAACAGUGUUUUUCAGUCAGUCUGCCUGUUCUAUUCCCCACUCUGUCUCUGGUGAAUCCUCUCACCCACGUCCCUGCCCCCCACCCCACCCCGCACCUGUGGCCUAUACUCCAGUUCUUGU